rnacentral:rRNA from 1 species
UACGUAGGCAGCAAGCGUUGUUCGGAGUUACUGGGCGUAAAGAGUGCGUAGGCGGUUCGGCAAGUCCGGUGUGAAAUCUCCCGGCUUAACUGGGAGGGUGCGCCGGAUACUGCGGGGCUCGAGUGUGGGAGAGGCAAGCGGAAUUCCUGGUGUAGCGGUGAAAUGCGUAGAUAUCAGGAGGAACACCGGUGGUGUAGACGGCUUGCUGGACCAUUACUGACGCUGAGGCACGAAAGCGUGGGGAG